GAACUACCUCCUAAGCAUUCGAGGAUUGGGACUUAAAAGCGUUGAAUUUGUUCGCCUUUUGACACUUCACCAUUUAGCUUUCCCGGUUGAUACAAAUGUUGGCCGCAUAUGUGUAAGACUUGGCUUGGUGCCAUUACAACCAUUGCCUGAGUCUCUCCAGUUGCACCUUUUAGAACUGUAUCCUGUCUUGGAGACUAUCCAGAAAUAUCUUUGGUCUCGUUUAUGUACACUUGAUCAACGUACUCUGUAUGAGCUACAUUACCAAAAUUUGGAACUUUGGAGCUUGCUAGUGGCUUGGGUGGGAACAUCAAGAAGCA